rnacentral:rRNA from 1 species
UACGGAGGAUCCGAGCGUUAUCCGGAUUUAUUGGGUUUAAAGGGUGCGCAGGCGGGGGAUUAAGUCGGCGGUGAAAUUUUGCAGCUCAACUGUAAAAGUGCCUUCGAAACUGGUUUCCUUGAGUGUAGAUGAAGUAGGCGGAAUUUGUGGUGUAGCGGCGAAAUGCAUAGAUAUCACGAGGAACUCCGAUUGCGCAGGCAGCUUACUAAACUACUACUGACGCUCAGGCACGAAGGCGUGGGGAUCAAACAGGAUUAGAUACCCGCGUAGUCCCU